rnacentral:lncRNA from 1 species
CGAUAACUCUUCUGAAGACUUUUGAACUUGGUCCGGCACUGCUCUGGUGUUCUGAGGAAGCCACAUUCUCGCAACCAUUCAGCCACAGCACCAUACACCUGGCUAUUUCGGGGACAAGCCUGGAGUGUUUCAUAAAAGCGAGAUUCCUUGAGAAUCGCAAGAAAAGUCUUGGUUUCUUCAUAGCUCCAGUGCACACCUGCAAUUUUUUC